GUUGCUUGUUGGGCAGAUCGCGCAAUCGGAGAUUUCACAGAGUUUUAGUUUCCGGCGACGACCUCACUACGCUCUGAUCGUGGUUUAGUGGUAAGCUCACGGCGACGGCAUCUUACCGGCUGUGUUGCUUACUUAUGUUUGUCUUCUUUGUUCGAGCUAACGGCGACAGAAUCUUACCGGCAGUAUAGCUUUCCUUUCUGGGCUACUUGGCGACGGCGUCUCACCGACAAGUUGCCUCUGUUUUUUUGUUUUUUUUUUUUUUUUUUUUGCGGGGUGAGAGCCGGGUUGGUUUGGGGACGAUGGUUAGGCCGGAGUUCCGGAAAAUUAACCCUCCGCUCUCGCCCCCCUUCUUUUCGUUUUUUUAGACGGGCACUCUUUUUCCUUUCUACGGUUUUUCCCUAUGGGUUUUCCGUAGAAAGGUUUUAACGAGGCUCGGCCCUUAGUCUGCUUCUCCUGUGCUCUCAAGGGUUUCUUUGGUUUUUUUUCUUUUCCUUUAUUAAUAAAAUCGCAGUUUAAUAAUU
rnacentral:lncRNA from 1 species